AUUAUUUCCUGUGCUGGGUGUCUGAGAUCAAAGUCUUCAGGCCAUAAAGGGGUGCUGGCUGUGCUGUGUUGGCAUAGCUCACUGUCCUCCUGUUUCCUGGUUCACAGUACUGUCUCUUUUAUUUCUCUUGGACGGACUCGACAGGACAGACAAUUGAACGGUGGCUGAGGACUGAACUGUCUACAGGACCAGGGAGAGCUUUCUAAUAGACCUCUACAGCAAUAUAACCUCUACAGAUUGGAGACGAGACAUUUUUUAAUCAUGGUGGUUUUGAGGAAGGGUGAAUGGGUGUGGGUAGACUCCGGGCAGGGAGUGGCCAUCGGAGCUGAGGUCAAGCUGACCGACACUGGAAAGCUGCAGCUCUUCGAUGAUGAAGGAAAGGUACUGUACCUAGUUACCUGUCCAAUACCUACCUGUACCUCCUAACUGUCUACUGGAAGGUA
rnacentral:lncRNA from 1 species